rnacentral:rRNA from 1 species
AGGAAAAGAAACCAACCGGGAUUGCCUUAGUAACGGCGAGUGAAGCGGCAAAAGCUCAAAUUUGAAAUCUGGCGUCUUCGACGUCCGAGUUGUAAUUUGAAGAAGGCGACUUUGUAGCUGGUCCUUGUCUAUGUUCCUUGGAACAGGACGUCAUAGAGGGUGAGAAUCCCGUGUGGCGAGGAUCCCAGUUAUUUGUAAAGUGCUUUCGACGAGUCGAGUUGUUUGGGAAUGCAGCUCUAAGUGGGUGGUAAAUUCCAUCUAAAGCUAAAUAUUGGCGAGAGACCGAUAGCGAACAAGUACAGUGAUGGAAAGAUGAAAAGAACUUUGAAAAGAGAGUGAAAAAGUACGUGAAAUUGUUGAAAGGGAAGGGCAUUUGAUCAGACAUGGCGUUUGCUUCGGCUUUCGCUGGGCCAGCAUCAGUUUUAGCGGUUGGAUAAAUCCUCGGGAAUGUGGCUCUGCUUCGGUAGAGUGUUAUAGCCCGUGGGAAUACAGCCAGCUGGGACUGAGGAUUGCGACUUUUGUCAAGGAUGCUGGCGUAAUGGUUAAAUGCCGCC